UACGAAGGGUGCAAGCGUUACUCGGAAUUACUGGGCGUAAAGCGUGCGUAGGUGGUUUGUUAAGUCUGCUGUGAAAGCCCCGGGCUCAACCUGGGAAUGGCAGUGGAUACUGGCAAGCUAGAGUGCGAUAGAGGGGUGUGGAAUUCCCGGUGUAGUGGUGAAAUGCGUAGAGAUCGGGAGGAACACCAGUGGCGAAGGCGGCACCCUGGAUCAGCACUGACACUCAGGCACGAAAGCGUGGGGAGCAAACAGG
rnacentral:rRNA from 1 species